rnacentral:rRNA from 1 species
ACCGGAUGCGGAUCUCAAAGCCUGUCCCAGUUCGGACUGGAGUCUGCAACCCGACUCCACGAAGUUGGAUUCGCUAGUAAUCGCGCAUCAGCCAUGGCGCGGUGAAUACGUUCCCGGGCCUUGUACACACCGCCCGUCAAGCCAUGGGAGCCGGGGGCGCCUGAAGUCUGUAGCCUGACGCAAGAGGGCGCAGCCGAAGGUGGGAUUGAUGACUGGGGUGAAGUCGUAACAAGGUAAC